UACCAGCACCCCGGAGUGGUCGGGACGUUUAUUGGGCCUAAAGCAUCCGUAGCCGGUUCUACAAGUCUUCCGUUAAAUCCAGCUGCUUAACAGAUGGGCUGCGGAAGAUACUAUGGAGCUAGGAGGCGGGAGAGGCAAGCGGUACUCGAUGGGUAGGGGUAAAAUCCGUUGAUCCAUUGAAGACCACCAGUGGCGAAGGCGGCUUGCCAGAACGCGCUCGACGGUGAGGGAUGGAAAGC
rnacentral:rRNA from 1 species